UGAAGGUAAAGGAUUUUUAGAGGGACAAAGUUCCCUACUUCUAAAAAAUCUAUCUAAGUUUUAAUGGCUCUCUCCAUUGCUUCGACUGCAUUGCCAAGCCUUUCUCCAAGGGAAUUACCACAGAAAAGCUGGAAUGUGAUAGGUUUGCAAACAUGUAGGAAGCUAAGAACAGAUAAACAUAGAGUGGCUGCAGGAAAAGCUGCAUCAAGUGUUUGUGAACCACUUCCUCCUGAUAGACCCGUAUGGUUUCCUGGUACUUCACCACCUCAGUGGCUUGAUGGAAGUCUGCCAGGGGAUUUUGGAUUCGACCAUUUGGACUAGGUUCUGAUGCAGAGACACUCAAGUGGAAUGCACAAGCCGAACUAAUCCACGGUAGAUGGGCAAUGCUAGCAGUUGCGGGAAUUUUAUUUCCUGAACUGCUCGAAAGCUUAGGCUUCAUUGACAAGUUCUCAUGGUACGAAGCCGGUUCUCAACAAUACUUAUUACAAGAAAUGUUCUCCUUGUAAUAAAUGCAGUAACCGAUUUGGUUCACAAUUGCUUGAAUCCCACAUUCCUCAACAGUAUUCACCGAAGGUGCAAUCAGCGCUCCAGUCACUGCUCCUGUCAACCCCACAUCCAUAUCUUUCACAACAAAAUAUUGCUGAAGAGGACUGGAGGAAAGCGGAUGCAGGAUAUGAAACAAGUUUACGAUUUUGAGAUGGGUGGUGCAAAGGAUCCAAACCUAAGAAAGUUCGCAAGCCCACUGUCCUUAAAUCAGACCUCUCCAUUCUUGAUUUUGCUGUCGCAGACGUAGCUCCUAUAACAACAGUUCAAGCGAAUGAAUUUUCUACUGAUGCGAAUGCCUCUGCGAGUAUUACCCAUGACGCAAAUGCCUUUGUUACUUUCGCCGAAAUUUUUCCUGAAAUAGUCCAAGAAAUAUCAAUCGCUCCUACUGCUGCCUCUGCGAAUUUAUUGGAUGCGAAACAAAGCUCUGCAUUCAUAAAUAUUGAUUUAGGACUAAAUGAUGCUGAUUAAAGUUCUGCUCCUAAAAAUAUCAUUACUCUUUCCCCUUCUUUUUCUACCCCUUCUUCUUUUCUAUUAAACUCUAUUUCCCAUAACAAGAAAGCCAUGGAGAGUGUUAAGUUUGCUUCUCAAACCCUUUCUGAGAUUAUCAGUUAUGCUAAAUCCUCCAUUGAUGACCCCCACAAACUUCGCAUUUUCUCUGCCUUGAGUAAACUCUUAUGCGAAUUUCCUUCCGAUAAAGCUACAAGGGAGGAAAUCCAUUGUCAGAUUAACCCCAGUUUCCAUACUUCUUUAGAUGUAUUGGAGUCUCAUCGUCGAAUGAUUCUAGCCGAAAGGCGUUUUGAAUCCAGCUGCUCAACUGGAGCUUUCACAACAAAAUGUUGCUUUGGAAAAGAAAAUCAAUAGGCUGAAAGCAGAACUUCAAGUUGAAAAUCUUGAUUCUGAGAGUCUUCGUAACCGUAAUAAAGAACUCGGAGGUAUUUGUUUUCUUGUUUCGACUAUCGCACCCUAUGAUGCAUUUCUUCACUCACACAAAUUCUUUAAAUGCAUUUUAUUAAGAUUUAAAUCAGAAGCGAGUCAUUGAGAGAUACUCUUUUCAAUUUCUUGCUGAAGAUACUCGCGCGAAUAAUGAGAAAUUGCAUACUCAACUAAAUCAACUAGAUAACCAAUAUUCACACUCACUUGAUCAAAUUAAUAAUCUAACCCAUGAAAAUAAUCAUCUCAUUCAAGAAAUUGAAGUGUUAAACGGUCAAAUACCCCAUUUAUCUAAAUUAUCUCAUAAUGUUGAUUUAAGACAUAAAACCUUGUCAAAAGAAAAUCGUACUACUCGGUACAGUCUAAUGUUAUGUAUGUCACCUUAAAUCUAACGGGCCAUCACUACUCGGUACAGUAAGUCCGGGACGGUACGGGACUGGGAUAGGACCGUGUACUUGUACCUCCCUAGCCUCGGUUCCUAUUUUUUGGACCGGUACCUGUACCCCUGCCUCGGUUCGGUACAAAAAUAGGUACGGUUCCACCGAUUCCGGGACGGUCCAUCGGUCCGGCUCGGUUCUUGUGCACUCUUAGGUACGCAUGAUUUUUUAAAUCGCCAUGAUUUAGAAACUAAUUACUCGUUUCUAGACAAUUCUGUACACGCUUUUUAGCGCUGCUGAUUUCCUUACUCGAGACGCGUCUACCUUGUUGCACGCUUCCAUGAAUUUAACCCGUCAACAACAUUCUGCCUUAAUGAGUCAGGAGGUUAACCGUCACAUGGAGAGUAUAAUCGAAACUCGUCUUACUCGCGAUAAAAUGAAGAAGGAUUUUGCUACAAUCGAGGCUCUGACUAAGGAACCUGAGGAUGAGAAAGCGUAUUCUGCCAAACAGGAGAAGAAGGUGGACAAAUAUCGCAUAUCAAAUGUAUGCUUCCGAAGCACCUUCUUUGCUCGAGGAAAUGCGCACCGAGGUUGUGAAUCUGUCUUCCCAAUUUGAUUGUCAUGUCACUGAGAUCGAGAUUCUGAAUGAAAAGAUAGAAACUUUAUACUCAAAAAUAGACCGUUUGUCGCUUGAUUGCUCUCGAAACGAAGAAUUGAAUUCGCAUCUUCACGAGGAGAACCAUCAUCUUAAAUACGAAUUUAAACGCAUCAAAAAUUCUCUCACUAGCUCGAGGAACCUUCAUCUCUCAUCCUUGUCCCAGAUCAAGAAAUUAGAAGAGGAUAAAGAUCGUGUAGUGAAAGUGAAAAAACGAGUUGUGCUUGACCUUCGCAACUCUCGUAACGAGGUUACUGGUUUGAAGGAAGAGAUAGAUUGUCUGAAGAAGAAGGUAGCAUUCCUUCAAACACAAGUGGACGAUUCCUCUCGUUCAGAACCUACUAAACCUUCUUCUCGGAUCAAGUCGAUCCCUUCUAGAAAAGGCAAGGGUAUCCUUGUCACUCAAUCCAACAAGGACAUCCCGGAAUCCGAUCAUGGCGAAAAGCAAAGUGGUUCGUAUCACGAACUAUACGAGCAACUCCAAAAGUCGAUUUUGGAAGUUUCUGGGCUAGAUCAUUUGUGCACGGAUAUCCAGGAAACCCUGAAAAACCACCAUCUCCAAAAGUCGAUUUUGGAAGUUUAGGUGUUGUAUAUGAUUGUUAAUUGUAUUAUGUUCCUGUUUCUGAUACAUA